GACAGAGGGUGCAAACGUUGUUCGGAUUCACUGGGCGUAAAGGGUGCGUAGGUGGCGAGGUAAGUCGGAUGUGAAAUCUCGGAGCUCAACUCCGAAACUGCAUUGGAAACUACCUUGCUCGAGGGUUGGAGGGGGGACUGGAAUACUUGGUGUAGCAGUGAAAUGCGUAGAUAUCAAGUGGAACACCAGUGGCGAAGGCGAGUCCCUGGACAACUCCUGACACUGAGGCACGAAAGCUAGGGGAGCAAACAGG
rnacentral:rRNA from 1 species